rnacentral:rRNA from 1 species
AGAGUUUGAUCCUGGCUCAGGACGAACGCUGGCGGCGUGCCUAACACAUGCAAGUCGAGCGAUGAAGUUCCUUCGGGAACGGAUUAGCGGCGGACGGGUGAGUAACACGUGGGUAACCUGCCUCAAAGAGGGGGAUAGCCUCCCGAAAGGGAGAUUAAUACCGCAUAAUAUUAGUAUUUCGCAUGAAGAACUAAUUAAAGGAGUAAUCCGCUUUGAGAUGGACCCGCGGCGCAUUAGCUAGUUGGUGAGGUAAAGGCUCACCAAGGCGACGAUGCGUAGCCGACCUGAGAGGGUGAUCGGCCACAUUGGAACUGAGACACGGUCCAGACUCCUACGGGAGGCAGCAGUGGGGAAUAUUGCACAAUGGGCGAAAGCCUGAUGCAGCAACGCCGCGUGAGUGAUGAAGGCCUUCGGGUUGUAAAGCUCUGUCUUUUGGGACGAUAAUGACGGUACCAAAGGAGGAAGCCACGGCUAACUACGUGCCAGCAGCCGCGGUAAUACGUAGGUGGCAAGCGUUGUCCGGAUUUACUGGGCGUAAAGGAUGCGUAGGCGGAUAUUUAAGUGAGAUGUGAAAUUCCCGGGCUUAACUUGGGAGCUGCAUUUCAAACUGGAUAUCUAGAGUGCGGGAGAGGAGAAUGGAAUUCCUAGUGUAGCGGUGAAAUGCGUAGAGAUUAGGAAGAACACCAGUGGCGAAGGCGAUUCUCUGGACCGUAACUGACGCUGAGGCAUGAAAGCGUGGGUAGCAAACAGGAUUAGAUACCCUGGUAGUCCACGCCGUAAACGAUGAGUACUAGGUGUAGGAGGGUCCAACCUUCUGUGCCGCAGUUAACACAAUAAGUACUCCGCCUGGGAAGUACGAUCGCAAGAUUAAAACUCAAAGGAAUUGACGG